AUACGUAGGGUGCAAGCGUUAAUCGGAAUUACUGGGCGUAAAGCGUGCGCAGGCGGUUUUGUAAGACAGUGGUGAAAUCCCCGGGCUCAACCUGGGAACUGCCAUUGUGACUGCAAGGCUGGAGUGCGGCAGAGGGGGAUGGAAUUCCGCGUGUAGCAGUGAAAUGCGUAGAUAUGCGGAGGAACACCGAUGGCGAAGGCAAUCCCCUGGGACGGCACUGACGCUCAUGCACGAAAGCGUGGGGAGCGAACAGGAUUAGAUACCCUGGUAGUCCACGCCCUAAACGAUGUCAACUGGUUGUUGGGGAUUUAUUUUCUCAGUAACGAAGCUAACGCGUGAAGUUGACCGCCUGGGGAGUACGGCCGCAAGGUUAAAACUCAAAUGAAUUGACGGGG
rnacentral:rRNA from 1 species